rnacentral:rRNA from 1 species
CCUACGGGAGGCAGCAGUGGGGAAUAUUGCACAAUGGGGGAAACCCUGAUGCAGCAACGCCGCGUGAGUGAUGAAGGCUUCGGGUUGUAAAGCUCUGUCUUUGGGGACGAUAAUGACGGUACCCAAGGAGGAAGCCACGGCUAACUACGUGCCAGCAGCCGCGGUAAU